rnacentral:rRNA from 1 species
GGUAGUCCACGCCGUAAACGAUGUCGACUUGGAGGUUGUGCCCUUGAGGCGUGGCUUCCGGAGCUAACGCGUUAAGUCGACCGCCUGGGGAGUACGGCCGCAAGGUUAAAACUCAAAUGAAUUGACGGGGGCCCGCACAAGCGGUGGAGCAUGUGGUUUAAUUCGAUGCAACGCGAAGAACCUUACCUACUCUUGACAUCCAGAGAACUUAGCAGAGAUGCUUUGGUGCCUUCGGGAACUCUGAGACAGGUGCUGCAUGGCUGUCGUCAGCUCGUGUCGUGAAAUGUUGGGUUAAGUCCCGCAACGAGCGCAACCCUUAUCCUUUGUUGCCAGCGGUUAGGCCGGGAACUCAAAGGAGACUGCCAGUGAUAAACUGGAGGAAGGUGGGGAUGACGUCAAGUCAUCAUGGCCCUUACGAGUAGGGCUACACACGUGCUACAAUGGCGCAUACAAAGAGAAGCGACCUCGCGAGAGCAAGCGGACCUCAUAAAGUGCGUCGUAGUCCGGAUUGGAGUCUGCAACUCGACUCCAUGAAGUCGGAAUCGCUAGUAAUCGUAGAUCAGAAUGCUACGGUGAAUACGUUCCCGGGCCUUGUACACACCGCCCGUCACACCAUGGGAGUGGGUUGCAAAAGAAGUAGGUAGCUUAACCUUCGGGAGGGCGCUUACCACUUUGUGAUUCAUGACUGGGGUGAAGUCGUAACAAGGUAACCGUAGGGGAACCCUGC